rnacentral:rRNA from 1 species
AUGGCGCCGGCGCACGGCGAGUAACGCGUAUGCAACUUACCUAUCAGAGGGGGAUAGCCCGGCGAAGUCGGAUUAAUACCCCAUAAACAGGGGUCCCGCAUGGGAAUAUUUGUUAAAGAUUCAUCGCUGAUAGAUAGGCAUGCGUUCCAUUAGGCAGUUGGCGGGGUAACGGCCCACCAAACCGACGAUGGAUAGGGGUUCUGAGAGGAAGGUCCCCCACAUUGGUACUGAGACACGGACCAA